rnacentral:tRNA from 1 species
GAGCGCAUGUCAUUGAUCGAAAAGGCCGAAAAUUCGCAUUCGCAAUGCGAAGGUCGGGAGUUCGAUCCUCCUCCGCUCCACCA